rnacentral:rRNA from 1 species
UGAAACCGUUUAGGGGUAAACCUGAGAAACCCGAAAGGUCGAAGAGAGAAAUUCAUUCGCGUUUCGACGUAGGCGUCGAACGGGGUUGCGUGACGAAACUCGUCGUUUUUCCGGACGUUCGUGUUUUGCACCCUUCGUUCUUCGAACCGACGACGAACGCGUGCACUUUUCUCUUGGUAGGACGUCGCGAUUCGUUGUGUGUCGAUCUACGACUUGCGGUGGAGCCCGUACGUCGUCUCGUACGUUACGUGCGGACCCGCUCGUUCCGAUCGACUCGCUCGACGAUAUACAAAAGGUCGGAGGCCGCUCGUUUAGAAGCGUUCGACUCGUCGCAAGCGCGCCACGUGCGUCGACGCGCGGACCUAGUGCCGCGUUCGACCUCUGGUGACUGUUGGCAACGAUGUUCUCGAACAGACCUCUUUUUUUUCGUUUGCCGCGAAAAAUUGACCGAUCGGCGACGCUAUAGCUUUGGGUACUUUCAGGACCCGUCUUGAAACACGGACCAAGGAGUCUAGCAUGUACGCGAGUCAUUGGGAAUCACUAAACCUAAAGGCGUAAUGAAAGUAAAGAUCUUCCUCGCGAAGAUCGAGGGAAGACGAACGUGCGAGUUCGUAAAAAAACCGUCGUUCUGCAUUCCCGGGGCGUCUCGUUCACAUCGCGUGAAGAGGCGCACCAAGAGCGUACACGCUGGGACCCGAAAGAUGGUGAACUAUGCCUGGUCAGAACGAA